AUUGAACGCUGGCGGCAUGCUUUACACAUGCAAGUCGAACGGUAACAGGCCUUCGGGUGCUGACGAGUGGCGAACGGGUGAGUAAUGCAUCGGAACGUGCCCAGAGGUGGGGGAUAACGCAGCGAAAGCUGUGCUAAUACCGCAUGUGAUCUGAGGAUGAAAGCGGGGGACCAGGCAGCAAUGUUUGGCCUCGCGCCUUUGGAGCGGCCGAUGGCAGAUUAGGUAGUUGGGGGGGUAAAGGCCUACCAAGCCGACGAUCUGUAGCUGGUCUGAGAGGACGACCAGCCACACUGGGACUGAGACACGGCCCAGACUCCUACGGGAGGCAGCAGUGGGGAAUUUUGGACAAUGGGCGCAAGCCUGAUCCAGCAAUGCCGCGUGCGGGAAGAAGGCCUUCGGGUUGUAAACCGCUUUUGUACGGAACGAAAAGGCUCUGGCUAAUACCUGGGGCUGAUGACGGUACCGUAAGAAUAAGCACCGGCUAACUACGUG
rnacentral:rRNA from 1 species